rnacentral:rRNA from 1 species
GACGAACGCUGGCGGCGUGCCUAAUACAUGCAGGUAGAAUGCACAGUUUAUACCGUAGCUUGCUACACCAUAGACUGUGAGUUGCGAACGGGUGAGUAACGCGUAGGUAACCUGCCUGGUAGCGGGGGAUAACUAUUGGAAACGAUAGCUAAUACCGCAUAAUAUUAAUUAUUGCAUGAUAAUUAAUUGAAAGGUGCAAUUGCACCACUACCAGAUGGACCUGCGUUGUAUUAGCUAGUAGGUGAGGUAACGGCUCACCUAGGCGACGAUACAUAGCCGACCUGAGAGGGUGAUCGGCCACACUGGGACUGAGACACGGCCCAGACUCCUACGGGAGGCAGCAGUAGGGAAUCUUCGGCAAUGGACGAAAGUCUGACCGAGCAACGCCGCGUGAGUGAAGAAGGUUUUCGGAUCGUAAAGCUCUGUUGUAAGAGAAGAACGGGUGUGAGAGUGGAAAGUUCACACUGUGACGGUAUCUUACCAGAAAGGGACGGCUAACUACGUG